rnacentral:sRNA from 1 species
AAGUGUGGCUGGACCCCGCUUUGGGAAAGGCUCUGGACCCCCCUAACGUCCUGGGGAAUUACAGGGUUCCUUCACAUGUUUCCAGUUGGAAGCAAGCGCUCCACUUACUUUGGCUUUUGAAAACUAUUUCCCUAGCCAUCGACGAGUACAAGCCCCAGGAUGCUACCACCAACCCGUCCCUGAUCCUGGCCGCAGCACAGAUGCCCGCUUACCAGGAGCUGGUGGAGGAGGCCAUCGCCUAUGGCCGGCAGCUGGGCGGGUCACAAGAGGACCAGAUUAAAAAUGCUAUUGAUAAACUUUUUGUGUUGUUUGGAGCAGAAAUACUAAAGAAGAUUCCGGGCCGAGUAUCCACAGAAGUAGACGCAAGGCUCUCCUUUGAUAAAGAUGCGAUGGUGGCCAGAGCCAGGCGGCUCAUCGAGCUCUACAAGGAAGCUGGGAUUAGCAAGGACCGAAUUCUUAUAAAGCUGUCAUCAACCUGGGAAGGAAUUCAGGCUGGAAAGUAA